GUUUCUGUAGUGUAGUGGUUAUCACGUUUGCUUAACACGCAAAAGGUCCCUGGUUCGAAACCGGGGCGGAAACA